AUUGAACGCUGGCGGCAUGCCUUACACAUGCAAGUCGAACGGUAACAGGUCUUCGGAUGCUGACGAGUGGCGAACAGGUGAGUAAUACAUCGGAACGUGCCUAGUAGUGGGGGAUAACUACUCGAAAGAGUGGCUAAUACCGCAUGAGAUCUACGGAUGAAAGCAGGGGAUCGCAAGACCCUGUGCUACUAGAGCGGCCGAUGGCAGAUUAGGUUGUUGGUGGGAUAAAAACUUACCAAGCCGACGAUCUGUAGCUGGUCUGAGAGGACGAUCAGCCACACUGGGACUGAGACACGGCCCAGACUCCUACGGGAGGCAGCAGUGGGGAAUUUUGGACAAUGGGCGCAAGCCUGAUCCAGCAAUGCCGCGUGCAGGAUGAAGGCCUUCGGGUUGUAAACUGCUUUUGUACGGAACGAAAAGCCCUGGGUUAAUACCCUGGGGUCAUGACGGUACCGUAAGAAUAAGCACCGGCUAACUACGUGCCAGCAGCCGCCGUAA
rnacentral:rRNA from 1 species